rnacentral:rRNA from 1 species
UACGUAGGGCGCAAGCGUUAUCCGGAAUUAUUGGGCGUAAAGAGCUCGUAGGCGGUUUGUCGCGUCUGCCGUGAAAGUCCGGGGCUCAACUCCGGAUCUGCGGUGGGUACGGGCAGACUAGAGUGAUGUAGGGGAGACUGGAAUUCCUGGUGUAGCGGUGAAAUGCGCAGAUAUCAUUUGGAACGCCAAUGGUGAAAACAGGUAGCUGGGAGUGUGCUGACGCUGAGACACGAAAGCCAGGGGAGCGAACGGG